rnacentral:rRNA from 1 species
UACUCGAGUGGCGAACGGGUGAGUAACACGUGGGUGAUCUGCCCUGCACUUUGGGAUAAGCCUGGGAAACUGGGUCUAAUACCGAAUACACCCUUCUGAUCGCAUGGUCUGGGAGGGGAAAGCUUUUGCGGUGUGGGAUGGGCCCGCGGCCUAUCAGCUUGUUGGUGGGGUGAUGGCCUACCAAGGCGACGACGGGUAGCCGGCCUGAGAGGGUGUCCGGCCACACUGGGACUGAGAUACGGCCCAGACUCCUACGGGAGGCAGCAGUGGGGAAUAUUGCACAAUGGGCGCAAGCCUGAUGCAGCGACGCCGCGUGGGGGAUGACGGCCUUCGGGUUGUAAACCUCUUUCAGCAUCGACGAAGCGCAAGUGACGGUAGAUGCAGAAGAAGCACCGGCCAACUACGUGCCAGCAGCCGCGGUAAUACGUAGGGUGCGAGCGUUGUCCGGAAUUACUGGGCGUAAAGAGCUCGUAGGUGGUUUGUCACGUUGUUCGUGAAAACUCACAGCUUAACUGUGGGCGUGCGGGCGAUACGGGCAGACUAGAGUACUGCAGGGGAGACUGGAAUUCCUGGUGUAGCGGUGGAAUGCGCAGAUAUCAGGAGGAACACCGGUGGCGAAGGCGGGUCUCUGGGCAGUAACUGACGCUGAGGAGCGAAAGCGUGGGGAGCGAACAGGAUUAGAUACCCUGGUAGUCCACGCCGUAAACGGUGGGUACUAGGUGUGGGUUUCCUUCCUUGGGAUCCGUGCCGUAGCUAACGCAUUAAGUACCCCGCCUGGGGAGUACGGCCGCAAGGCUAAAACUCAAAGGAAUUGACGGGGGCCCGCACAAGCGGCGGAGC